ensembl:snRNA RNU6-282P RNA, U6 small nuclear 282, pseudogene
GUGCUUCUUCAGCAGCACAUGUACUAAAAUUGGAACGAUACAGAAAUUAGCAUGGUCCCUGCUCAAAAAUGACCUGAAAAUUCAUGAAGCAUUCCACGUUUUA